rnacentral:ncRNA from 20 species
UGCGAUGAGUUGACUCAACCAGGUAACUUCGGUUAUUUCGCUGCGGCGGCUAGUGGUUGAACAAAGGCAGGGCGUUGGUACUUCGAGUACAACUACAGGAUGUAGAUGCUUAGCUCCCUCUGUAUUGUGGAAUUC